rnacentral:rRNA from 1 species
ACGGGAGGCAGCAGUGAGGAAUAUUGGUCAAUGGGCGGAAGCCUGAACCAGCCAUCUCGCGUGCAGGACUACGGCCCUACGGGUCUUAAACUGCUUUUAUGGGGGGAUAAAGUCGGGCAUGCGUGUCCGUUUGCAGGUACCCCAUGAAUAAGGAUCGGCUAACUCCGUGCCAGCAGCCGCGGUAAUACGGAGGAUCCGAGCGUUAUCCGGAUUUAUUGGGUUUAAAGGGUGCGUAGGCGGGAUGUUAAGUCAGCGGUGAAAGCGUGUAGCUCAACUAUACCAAGCCGUUGAAACUGGCGUUCUUGAGUGUAAACGAGGUAGGCGGAAUGUGACGUGUAGCGGUGAAAUGCUUAGAUAUGUCACAGAACCCCGAUUGCGAAGGCAGCUUACCAGCAUACAACUGACGCUGAGGCACGAAAGUGCGGGGAUCAAACAGGAUUAGAUACCCUGGUA